AGUGAACGCUGGCGGUAGGCCUAACACAUGCAAGUCGAACGGCAGCACAGGAGAGCUUGCUCUCUGGGUGGCGAGUGGCGGACGGGUGAGGAAUACAUCGGAAUCUACCUUGUCGUGGGGGAUAACGUAGGGAAACUUACGCUAAUACCGCAUACGACCUUCGGGUGAAAGUGGGGGACCGCAAAGCCUCACGCGAUUAGAUGAGCCGAUGUCGGAUUAGCUAGUUGGCGGGGUAAAAGCCCACCAAGGCGACGAUCCGUAGCUGGUCUGAGAGGAAGUUCAGGCACACUGGAACUGAGACACGGGCCAGACUCCUACGGGAGGCAGCAGUGGGGAAUAUUGGACAAUGGGCGCAAGCCUGAUCCAGCCAUACCGCGCGGGUGAAGAAGGCCUUCGGGUUGUAAAGCCCUUUUGUUGGGAGAGGAAUCCUGUCGAUUAAUACUCGGUGGGGAUGACGGUAUCCAAAGAAUAAGCACCGGCUAACUUCGUGCCAGCCGCCGCGGUAACAC
rnacentral:rRNA from 1 species